GGAUGAAGAGCUGCUGGAUUCAGUGCAGCAGGAAGUAGGAGAGCAGAGAACAGCAGAGGAACAGGAAGCUCUGGGAGACACUCUGAGCACCGUUACACAGAUUCCCCUCACAACAUGUGACACUCCCGAGCGGUCUUCAGUCCCUGAACAGCUCACUGUUGAGCAGCUCUGUCCAUCACAGGAGAAACAUUUCUUUCCAUUAGGGAAAAUGCUGGGAUGAUCUACAGGAGGAAAAUGAAAAGAAGAGAAGAGAAAAGUCUAUGGGAAAAAUGAAUGGGCUUUCAGUCGAGGGAACCCAUGCGCUGCUAACUUCCGGUGAAAAGAAUGAAGAGAAGAAAAACUGAGAUUUGCAGAUCCAUCUUUGAUCAGGAGGUGAAUGAAAUAACAUCUGUUUCAGUGCUCAUUUUUAUAUCUUACCAAAAGGGGAGGAUCUUCACGAGAAAAUGUGUGUGUGACAACAUGCUGGAGAACUGGAGAGGAAGUGGCCGCACCAGCAGAUUGUUUUGGUGAAGACCAGACGAGAGCACAAUGACUGAUAUCUGAUGAUAUCUGAUGCUUUAAGCCAGUGUUUCCCAAACCUGUUCCUGGAGGCCGACUGUUGGUAUGCUUCCAGGAACAGGGUGGGGAAACAAGCUUGAGAGAGCCAGACGAGUUUGGAGUGCGUCAUUAGCCAAAUAUGGUUGCAAGUACCGUCGUUAUCAGCACAGUUCAACGAGUCAGUGAUACACGAAACCAUAGUUCUAAUAAACAUUCGCAAACAGCAUCGCAAAGUUGUGUGGUUAAAAGGACAGCUCUCGAGCCGUGGUUAGUUUCUUGUUUGCAUGACAUGUGGACUUAAUUAGAGGUCUGCAUUCCCGCGGCUGUCUCGCGGGAACCGCGGGACCCGAUAAGAUUUCUUGCUGCGCGGGAUUAAAUUUUGAAUGAAAGGCGGAUAGAGUACCCCAGGGAUGACAUGUUUUUAUAGGCAAAAUCUGGAAGCGAGUUAGCAUUUUAGGACUUCCUGUUCCAACGCC